CAUGCAAGUCGAACGGUGAAGAGAAGCUUGCUUCUCGGAUCAGUGGCGGACGGGUGAGUAACACGUGAGCAACCUGCCUUUAAGAGGGGGAUAACGUUUGGAAACGAACGCUAAUACCGCAUAACAUAGAAGAUUCGCAUGUUUCUUCUAUCAAAGAUUUAUCGCUUAAAGAUGGGCUCGCGUCUGAUUAGCUGGUUGGUGAGGUAACGGCUCACCAAGGCGACGAUCAGUAGCCGUACUGAGAGGUAGAACGGCCACAUUGGGACUGAGACACGGCCCAGACUCCUACGGGAGGCAGCAGUGGGGAAUAUUGCACAAUGGAGGGAACUCUGAUGCAGCGAUGCCGCGUGAGGGAAGAAGGUUUUAGGAUUGUAAACCUCUGUCUUCAGGGACGAUAAUGACGGUACCUGAGGAGGAAGCUCCGGCUAACUACGUGCCAGCAGCCGCGGUAAUACGUAGGGAGCGAGCGUUGUCCGGAAUUACUGGGUGUAAAGGGAGCGUAGGCGGGAUCUUAAGUCAGGUGUGAAAACUAUGGGCUCAACCCAUAGACUGCACUUGAAACUGAGGUUCUUGAGUGAAGUAGAGGCAGGCGGAAUUCCUAGUGUAGCGGUGAAAUGCGUAGAUAUUAGGAGGAACACCAGUGGCGAAGGCGGCCAACUGGGCUUUUACUGACGCUGAGGCUCGAA
rnacentral:rRNA from 1 species